rnacentral:tRNA from 1 species
GAGGGUACAGCUCAGUGGUGGAGCGCGUGCUUAGCAUGCAUGAGGUCCUGGGUUCAAUCCCCAGUACCGCCA